GAUGAACGCUGGCGGCGUGCCUAAUACAUGCAAGUCGAGCGAACAGACGAUGAUCUUGCUCCUCUGACGUUAGCGGCGGACGUGUGAGUAACACGUGUAUAACCUACCUAUAAUACUGGGAUAACUUCGGGAAACCGGCUCUAAUACCGUAUAAUAUAUUGAACCGCAUUGUUCAAUAGUGAAAUACGGUUUUUCUGUCACUUAUAGAUGGAUCCGCGCCGCAUUAGAUAGUUGGUAAGGUAACGGCUUACCAAGGCAACGAUGCGUAGCCGACCUGAGAGGGUGAUCGGCCACACUGGAAGUGAGACACGGACCAGACUACUACGGGAGGCAGCAGUAGGGAAUCUUCCGCAAUGGGCGAAAGCAUGACGGAGCAACGCCGAGUGAGUGAUGAAGGUCUUCGGAUCGUAAAACUCUGUUAUUAGGGAAGAACAAAUGUGUAAGUAAAUAUGCACGUCUUGACGGUAACUAAUAAGAAAGCAACGGCUAACUACGUG
rnacentral:rRNA from 1 species